AUUGAACGCUGGCGGCAUGCCUUACACAUGCAAGUCGAACGGUAACGGGCCUUCGGGUGCCGACGAGUGGCGAACGGGUGAGUAAUGCAUCGGAACGUACCUUUCAGUGGGGGAUAACGUAGCGAAAGUUACGCUAAUACCGCAUAUUCUGUGAGCAGGAAAGCAGGGGAUCGCAAGACCUUGCGCUGAUUGAGCGGCCGAUGUCAGAUUAGCUAGUUGGUGAGGUAAAAGGCUCACCAAGGCGACGAUCUGUAGCGGGUCUGAGAGGAUGAUCCGCCACACUGGAACUGAGACACGGUCCAGACUCCUACGGGAGGCAGCAGUGGGGAAUUUUGGACAAUGGGGGGCAACCCUGAUCCAGCCAUGCCGCGUGAGUGAAGGAGGCC
rnacentral:rRNA from 1 species